UCUUUGCUUCGCUAGCUGAAGCGCUUUAUGACUCACCCCUGCCUUUCAGAUUUUCCAGGUGGAUGUCAGAUCUUGGUCCACUUCACUCACCAAACUCCUGCAUAAACACAGCAGGGCCUGAAGUUUCCUUGAAAACUUGCCUCGCUUACAAACGGCAAGAGGCCCUCCACCUCCCCUUGUGGAAGACGGGGAGAUGGUGAGAACGGCCGCGUGGCCCGCUGCAAACGAGUCCUCCUCAAGGGUCUCCAACUGCGAGUUCUCUGGGCUAAUUACUCGAACAGCACCUUCGACGAAGAAAAGCUGACACAGAAACUGGACAGAGUCUGUGUCUCAAGUGCGCUGAGGAGAGAGCGAAGAAACUGUCUAACCCUUUGCUACAUAAAAAGCUACAUGAUGCCAUCUCAUACAAAGACUUCACUACAUGGAAUUUCAUCUGAAAAAUAUCUUUGCAUACCAAACAAAGUAGAAGCUGGUUUUGAAAGCGAAAACCAGGUGGGUAAUCACCAUUAAUACCACAUCUAGAAGUCAUCUCUGGGGACAUCCAGGAGGGUCUCCAGAAUUUCUAUACUGAUUUUAUCCAGGAAGAGGUGCAAUCGUGGAAGUGGCGAAUACUUUUUUCAUAAUGACAGUGAACAUUCUUUCGUUCUCCAAUUAAUUCUCAAAUGCUCAAGCGGAGGACCGCUUCACUGUGGAUUCUUUUGCAGUCUGCAGUGCAGAUCUCUGGGCUCUGGUGAGCCUUACGAAGCCUGCCCAGGGCUGCAGAUGGGUGAGAGAAACAGUCUUGCCCGGAAGUGAAGAGAGGACAGCAAAAUGAGCCAAGGCUUUGUGUCUGCUUAUGACAGGCGCAACAGUUAUGCAAACUAAGAACCCAACAUUUUACUAAACUGAUGCCAAAAAUCUUGUCCCACGCUAAAACAAAUGUUUGAAGCUGCAGAGAGCCGAUGCAGAAUAAAAUCAAUAUGCUAUUGUUGGAAUUCGUGCCU
rnacentral:lncRNA from 1 species